AACGAACGCUGGCGGCAGGCCUCAAACAUGCAAGUCUAGGGGGUGCAGCAAUGCAUCACCGGCGGACGGGUGCGUAACGCGUGGGAAUAUACCUAUUGGUUCGGAACAACUGCGGGAAACUGCAGCUAAUACCUAAUGUGCCCUAACGGGGAAAGAUUUAUCGCCAAUGGAUUAGCCCGCGUAGGAUUAGCUAGUUGGUGGGGUAAUGGCUCACCAAGGCUCCGAUCCUAGCUGUUCUGAGAGGAAGAUCAGCCACACUGGGACUGAGACACGGCCCAGACUCCUACGGGAGGCAGCAGUUGGGAAUCUUGGACAGUGGGGGAAACCCUGAUCCAGCCAUGCCGCGUGAGGGAAGAAGGCCUUCGGUUG
rnacentral:rRNA from 1 species